AGUGAACGCUGGCGGUAGGCCUAACACAUGCAAGUCGAACGGCAGCACAGUAAGAGCUUGCUCUUACGGGUGGCGAGUGGCGGACGGGUGAGGAAUACAUCGGAAUCUACUUUUUCGUGGGGGAUAACGGAGGGAAACUUACGCUAAUACCGCAUACGACCUACGGGUGAAAGCAGGGGAUCUUCGGACCUUGCGCGAUUGAAUGAGCCGAUGUCGGAUUAGCUAGUUGGCGGGGUAAAGGCCCACCAAGGCGACGAUCCGUAGCUGGUCUGAGAGGAUGAUCAGCCACACUGGAACUGAGACACGGUCCAGACUCCUACGGGAGGCAGCAGUGGGGAAUAUUGGACAAUGGGCGCAAGCCUGACCCAGCCAUACCGCGUGGGUGAAGAAGGCCUUCGGGUUGUAAAGCCCUGUUGUUGGGAAAGAAAAGCAGCAGAUUAAUACCCCGCUGUUCUGACGGUACCCAAAGAAUAAGCACCGGCUAACUUCGUG
rnacentral:rRNA from 1 species